rnacentral:rRNA from 1 species
UGGGGAUGACGUCAAAUCAUCAUGCCCCUUAUGUACCUGGGCUACACACGUGCUACAAUGGUUGGUACAACGAGUUGCGAGUCGGUGACGGCGAGCUAAUCUCUUAAAGCCAAUCUCAGUUCGGAUUGUAGGCUGCAACUCGCCUACAUGAAGUCGGAAUCGCUAGUAAUCGCGGAUCAGCACGCCGCGGUGAAUACGUUCCCGGGCCUU